UACGUAGGGUGCAAGCGUUAUCCGGAAUUAUUGGGCGUAAAGAGCUCGUAGGCGGUUUGUCGCGUCUGCUGUGAAAACCCGAGGCUCAACCUCGGGCCUGCAGUGGGUACGGGCAGACUAGAGUGCGGUAGGGGAGAUUGGAAUUCCUGGUGUAGCGGUGAAAUGCGCAGAUAUCAGGAGGAACACCGGUGGCGAAGGCGGGUCUCUGGGCAACAACUGACGCUGAGGAGCGAAAGCAUGGGGAGCAAACAGG
rnacentral:rRNA from 1 species